GACGAACGCUGGCGGCGUGCUUAACACAUGCAAGUCGAACGGAAAGGCCCUGCUUUUGUGGGGUGCUCGAGUGGCGAACGGGUGAGUAACACGUGAGUAACCUGCCCUUGACUUUGGGAUAACUUCAGGAAACUGGGGCUAAUACCGGAUAGGAGCUCCUGCUGCAUGGUGGGGGUUGGAAAGUUUCGGCGGUUGGGGAUGGACUCGCGGCUUAUCAGCUUGUUGGUGGGGUAGUGGCUUGCCAAGGCUUUGACGGGUAGCCGGCCUGAGAGGGUGACCGGCCACAUUGGGACUGAGAUACGGCACAGACUCCUACGGGAGGCAGCAGUGGGGAAUAUUGCACAAUGGGCGGAAGCCUGAUGCAGCAACGCCGCGUGCGGGAUGACGGCCUUCGGGUUGUAAACCGCUUUCGCCUGUGACGAAGCGUGAGUGACGGUAAUGGGUAAAGAAGCACCGGCUAACUACGUG
rnacentral:rRNA from 1 species